AUUGAACGCUGGCGGCAGGCCUAACACAUGCAAGUCGAACGGUAACAGGAAGAUGCUUGCUUCUUUGCUGACGAGUGGCGGACGGGUGAGUAAUGUCUGGGAAACUGCCUGAUGGAGGGGGAUAACUACUGGAAACGGUAGCUAAUACCGCAUAACGUCGCAAGACCAAAGAGGGGGACCUUCGGGCCUCUUGCCAUCGGAUGUGCCCAGAUGGGAUUAGCUAGUAGGUGGGGUAACGGCUCACCUAGGCGACGAUCCCUAGCUGGUCUGAGAGGAUGACCAGCCACACUGGAACUGAGACACGGUCCAGACUCCUACGGGAGGCAGCAGUGGGGAAUAUUGCACAAUGGGCGAAAGCCUGAUGCAGCCAUGCCGCGUGUAUGAAGAAGGCCUUCGGGUUGUAAAGUACUUUCAGCGGGGAGGAAGGGAGUAAAGUUAAUACCUUUGCUCAUUGACGUUACCAGCAGAAGAAGCACCGGCUAACUCCGUG
rnacentral:rRNA from 1 species